rnacentral:lncRNA from 1 species
AAAAAAAAACAGUUGAAAUUUUAUAUUACAAUCAAAUAUAGUAUGUCAAAACUAUGUAAGCAUCCUCUACAAUGAAAGAAAAUUUGUCUUUUCGGACACAAUGCGAAAUGCUUAAUUUCUUACAGCAUAAAACUCUCAAUGUGUUCCCUGUGUGGAUAAAAAAAAACAACGCUACGAUCUCCAUUCUUCGCCUGCCUAUUCUCUAAUUUUACACCUGACAAUAAUUCUCAUUCACUACACCGAAAAGUGGACGACAUAUUUUUGUGUUGUAUAAAUGAGGAUGGUGCACAUUCUGUAUGUGCCUGUCCCAAGUCAGGAGCCUGUAAUUCGGUGGUUGUCGUUUUUUGCUGUAUAUCAAAUUUGUUUUUUCGUCUGAAUUGUUUUACAUUUGUCAUUUCGGGGCCUUUUAUAGCUGACUAUGUGAUAUGGGUUUUACUCAUUGAUGAAGGCCGUACGUUGACCUAUAGUUG